rnacentral:lncRNA from 1 species
CUGAUGACAAUCCAACACUUUAUCCUAAACGCCCCCACUGACUCGGCUCAGCCCACAGGAUGGAUCACGCCUGAAACAGAUGUCCUGGCUUCCCCGGGCCAAGGAAUCUCAGCCCCUCCCAGUAGAUGAGACACUUCAUCCCUUGGACACCAGAAGCAUCUUCCGGAUUUCAUCAGGCAAGGUCAUCUGGGCAGUUCUGCUCAUCUGGACCAGAUGUGGCUGAUCUCAGUUGGACUUGCUCAUGAGGCUGUGGUCAGCUGGCAGGUGGACUGGCGGCUGGCUGUCUAGGAAUGGCCUUAGCCACAUGUCUGCUGGUUGGCUGGAUACUGGCCUGGGUGAGGGCAAUGAGGCCCCAUGUCUCUUCUCUUCCAGUAUGCUUCCAGCCUGGAUUUCUCACACAGCAGAGGAAGGGUUUCAAGAAGGAGAGCAAAUGGUGCAUAUUGUCACUUCUUCUGCAUUCCGUUGGCCAAUGCAAGUCACAAGUGGGAAAAGAGGUGCCAUCUCUGGAUGGAUGAAGCAGCAAAGUCGCAUUGCGAAGGGCAAAGGAGACAUUUGGAGAAUUUUAUUCUGUCUUACCAGAAUACGCAAGAAUGCCCUGAAAGACAGAAAUAAGAGCUUCAUUAGAAUCUCCUUAACAACCAAAAGAGAUGGAGGAAGUCAACAACUGAGGGUGAGGAGAGCUCUCUGCUGACAAGGCCACGUAUCCAGGUCCUUCCUGCUCCAUGGCAAGCACAGGCUGGAUGGAAGGCUUCCGUGGAUGCUUUGGGAGCGAAGUUGCCUGGAGAACCCACAAACUCAGGAGCUAGCAACAAAUUCCAGGACUUUCUAUAACCCAUUAAACACACUUGAAAGUGAUUAUCCUGAGCAGUAAUUGAGAACAGCUGAGACUUAGAAUGCUGGUUCAUAACUUAUCUUCGAUGGGUGUUUCUCAAAAUUUUUCUAUAUAAGAAUCAUCCAGCUAAGUAUAAUAGUUCGAAAUCUUAUCAAAUUGUGUACUUAGUUGCUUUAACAAAGUUGUUUUGGGUUUUUUUCGUUGAAAAAAAAUCAGAUCUCCGGGCUGGCCCCGUGGCCGAGUGGUUAAGU